rnacentral:rRNA from 1 species
UACGGAGGGUGCAAGCGUUGUCCGGAAUCACUGGGCGUAAAGGGCGCGUAGGCGGCUCAUGAAGGCUGUGGUGAAAGUCCGGGGCUCAACCUCGGAUCGGCCGUGGCGACUCGUGGGCUGGAGCACUGUAGAGGCGGGUGGAAUUCCGGGUGUAGCGGUGGAAUGCGUAGAGAUCCGGAAGAACACCAGUGGCGAAGGCGGCCCGCUGGGCAGUAGCUGACGCUGAGGCGCGAAAGCGUGGGGAGCAAACAGG